AACGAACGCUGGCGGCAGGCUUAACACAUGCAAGUCGAACGCCCCGCAAGGGGAGUGGCAGACGGGUGAGUAACGCGUGGGAACGUGCCCUUCGCUUCGGAAUAGCCCCGGGAAACUGGGAGUAAUACCGGAUACGCCGUAUUGGGAAAGAUUUAUCGGCGAAGGAUCGGCCCGCGUUGGAUUAGCUAGUUGGCGGUGUAAUGGACCACCAAGGCGACGAUCCAUAGCUGGUCUGAGAGGAUGAUCAGCCACACUGGGACUGAGACACGGCCCAGACUCCUACGGGAGGCAGCAGUGGGGAAUCUUAGACAAUGGGCGCAAGCCUGAUCCAGCCAUGCCGCGUGAGUGAAGAAGGCCUUAGGGUUGUAAAACUCUUUCGCCGGUGAAGAUAAUGACGGUAGCCGGAGAAGAAGCCCCGGCUAACUUCGUGCCAGCCGCCGCCGUAAAAC
rnacentral:rRNA from 1 species